rnacentral:rRNA from 1 species
AGCGGUAACAGCUCAAAUUUGAAAUCUGGCCCUUUUAGGGUCCGAGUUGUAAUUUGUAGAAGAUGCUUUGGGUGUGGCUCCGGUCUAAGUUCCUUGGAACAGGACGUCAUAGAGGGUGAGAAUCCCGUAUGUGACUGGCGGCCUUCGCCCGUGUAAAGCUCUUUCGACGAGUCGAGUUGUUUGGGAAUGCAGCUCUAAAUGGGAGGUAUAUUUCUUCUAAAGCUAAAUACUGGCCAGAGACCGAUAGCGCACAAGUAGAGUGAUCGAAAGAUGAAAAGCACUUUGGAAAGAGAGUUAAACAGUACGUGAAAUUGUUGAAAGGGAAGCGCUUGCAACCAGACUUGCGUGCCGUCGAUCAUCGUGGGUUCUCCCGCGUGCACUCGGCGGCGUUCAGGCCAGCAUCGGUUCCGGUGGUUGGAUAAAGGCCUUGGGAAUGUGGCUCCUCUCGGGGAGUGUUAUAGCCCUCGGUGCAAUGCAGCCUACUGGGACCGAGGACCGCGCUUCGGCUAGGAUGCUGGCGUAAUGGUUGUAAGCGACCCGUCUUGAAACACGGACCAAGGAGUCUAACAUCUAUGCGAGUGUUAGGGUGUUAAACCCUUCCGCGAAAUUAACGUGAACGGAGGUACGAACCCUUUAGGGCGCAGUAUCGACCGGUCCUGAUGUCUUCGGAUGGAUCUGAGUAAGAGCAUAGCUGUUGGGACCCGAAAGAUGGUGAACUAUGCCUGAAUAGGGUGAAGCCAGAGGAAACUCUGGUGGAGGCUCGCAGCGGUUCUGACGUGCAAAUCGAUCGUCAAAUUAGGGCAUAGGGGCGAAAGACUAAUCGAACCAUC